AACAGAGUAUUAAAAGUCAAAGGGACAAAGAAGGACUCAGCAAGAUUUCCCUGACAAUUGCCUUAGUACUUUUAAUGCUUAAUUUUUUUUAAUUAUAUUCAUCUUAUUUUACUUUAGAGUUUAUCAUAUCGACCUGCCACUGAUUGAAAACAACACAAAACUGUUUCAUCACUGAUAGGUAGUCUGAGAAGCAAUGAAAUAGGUAACAUUAAAACCAAGACAUUCAGUUCAGGAAAAGACACAUAGGGAGAAACAAGUUCCAGAAGGCAGAAAAAAAUGUUUGCAGCACCUUAAUUGUUAAGGCAGGUAUAAGACUCAAUUGAAAUAAAAAUGGGCUGAACAUGCGAACAGGUAUUUACAGAUAUUUAGGAUGAGAAGUCCAAAUGCCCAGUGAGCACGUGAGGAGUGGUCAACCUCACUGUCACCAGGGAAGAGAGUAUUAAAACCACAACAUAAGCCACAGAGCCACCAGAUCAACAGAAACAAAGCCUCGUAAUUCCAAAUGUUGGUGAGGAUGCUGAGCAGCAGGAGCUCACUGGCAGGAGAGUAAACCAGCCAAAGCCUUCAGAACACUCCUUGGCAGCGUUCAUUAAAGCUGAGCAUAAAAAGCUGGAUUCGAGAGCCGCAGUUCCACUCCAAGUUCUAGUCCUAGGAACUAAUGACGUGUGCACAAACCCGAUGACGAAAGCAGCAUAAUUUACAAUGAUUACAAAGUGGAAAGAAGCCCAGUGACCACCAACAGUGGGCCGGAUAAAGAGAUGCUGUGCUCUUCACAGUGUGAAACAGUAAACAGCAGCAAAGCCCAUCAAGCCGCAGCUUCAGACAAUGACGUCAACAAAGCUCAUAGGAUGCACCAGCCUCCAUCUGGACAUAUCAGGAUAUUUCAGGCUGCAGGUCUCUGUGGAUCCACUCCUUAAUCUCAUCUGUCAGCCUCACUCUGAAGAUCUCAUUUUAAUUUUGCCUUAUUACUCCAAUAGCUCUGGUGGGUUUUUUUUUUUUCCUUCCAAGAGCUCUCAAAACUGACACCCACCCCUACUCCUUAC
ensembl:lncRNA